UACAGAGACUGCAAGCGUUAUUCGGAUUCACUGGGCGUAAAGGGUGCGCAGGCGGUCGGGUGUGUCAGAUGUGAAAUCCCGAGGCUCAACCUCGGAACUGCGUCUGAAACUACUCGACUAGAGUACUGGAGAGGGUAACGGAAUUCACGGUGUAGCAGUGAAAUGCGUAGAGAUCGGAAGGAACGUCGAUGGCGAAGGCAGCCACCUGGCAUCAUACUGACGCUGAGGCGCGAGAGCGUGGGGAGCAAACAGG
rnacentral:rRNA from 1 species